rnacentral:snRNA from 1 species
GUGCUCACUUCAGCAGCACAUAUACUAAAAUUGGGACGAUCUAGAGAAGAUUAGCAUGGCCCCUGCACAAGGAUGACAAGCAAUUUUUUUUUU